rnacentral:rRNA from 1 species
UACGUAGGGACCAAGCGUUGUUCGGAUUUACUGGGCGUAAAGGGCGCGUAGGCGGCAAUUCAAGUCAGCUGUGAAAUCUCCGGGCUUAACUCGGAACGGUCAGCUGAUACUGCUUUGCUAGAGUGCAGAAGGGGCAAUCGGAAUUCUCGGUGUAGCGGUGAAAUGCGUAGAUAUCGAGAGGAACACCUGAGGUGAAGACGGGUUGCUGGGCUGACACUGACGCUGAUGCGCGAAAGCCAGGGUAGCAAACGGG